rnacentral:lncRNA from 1 species
AAUGCAACACUACUAAUUUGUACUAAACAAUAAACUAAGUUGCACUAAUCAUUCGAAUGAAAGUACAUUAAUAUCAAUUGAACAAGAUUAAUUGCAAUUCAAAGAAACAAAACUUAGAAGCCAAUUAAAGUCUUGGAGGCUUGGAGCCACAUGGACAAAACUUAGAAGCAUGCCAUUGCAUACAGAGGACAGAACCUUCGGCAGAGGUUUCAAACCUUCAACAAGCUUGGGGAAUCAGAUGCAACCUUCCACUGCACUCUGCCCAGCAACACGCACGACAGGGGAGACAGCAACCAUAGCAACGAUAGCAACUGUGAUGAAUUGAUCCAAACCAACCAUAGCAACUGUGUUACCCCAUGGCACAUCCUCAACUGUUUCCUGCUUCUUACCCAUCCAAAUAACUAUUCUUUAGACAUUCUUAAGUCUUAACAUUAUAACAUACAAGUCCUUUUUCUCUCUCGGAACAUAGUUGGGACCCAUGAUUCUAACCUUCAUGCCAGUGGCACUUUUUCCAGAAAACACACGGCCAAAAGUAAAGAAAACAUCAAAUUAGGUCUAACAAGAUGGAUGUCUAGCCGAUCAAAAACAAAUCAUGCGAAUGACAUCAAUCUAACAGAUCAUGCGAGUUGAUAUCCCAAUAAUGUUUUGGAUCUUAAACUCAUUUACUAUUGAUGCCAGCCACCAUCUCAUCUUGAAAUGGAUAUUAUGGUAUCCCAUUUUUUUUAAUUUGCAUUGGAUAAAAUCAGAAAGCCUUUUGUUUACAUUUUCUUAUUUUUAUCAACGAGAAACAAACAAAAGGAAUAGCUCAAUCAGAUUCAGAGCUGAGUUUAGGAAAAACUUCAGGGCCCAAGAGAAAAUUUGUAUGAAACUUCAAGCACUACUGUAGCAAUAAAGCCUGAAAGUUUUGAUAAGAUUUCAUAUAUAUUCGGCUGGGAAUCAUAAAGGGGGCUAUUAGAAGCUUUGAUAUGUCUUCAGAUUGAGAAACUUUUGUACUUUAUGACGUAUCCCCUUUUCUGCAGUUUCCUAUUCCAUGCAGUGUUUUGUUUUCCAGGAAAGGUUAGUUUUAGUUCCGAUUGAGAAACUCUUGUUUUCAUGCUGUUAUUGACCCAAGUAAAAGAUCUUUUAGUUUAACUGCAUAAGCUAGCAUCAAAAUUAUUCUCCAGAGAACAUAACUGAAUAUUCUCAUUAAUCUCAUUAAUAUACUAGCUAAUUAACACUUAAUAAUCCAACUUAAAGCAAAUUUCUGAAAUCAGUGCAUUUUCACAUCAAAGAAAAACCCAUAAACAUGUUAGAGCCAAUGUCAAGAAACUUACCAAUUCUUGGAGCUAUCGCGCCAACCACCGAAUCACUUGUUGAAGGAAUCGAGCUGCCCUCCAUUUCCUCAAAAUUCCAGUACAGCAAUGGAGAAGGAAUGGGAUACGGAAAUUGAAUAUAUUGAAUCGCAGGCUGCAGCCCCCAAUUUUUUUGGUUAGGGUUUGGAGAUUAAAAAUUAAUAUUACAUUUAUAAAAUUUAACCUCAUAAUGCACAUAUUUACUACACAAAUGCACAAUAAGUACCUUAAUUUGUCAAAUGCAGCUGUUGAAAUUGAUGGGUUUUGAUUUGAUUUGAAACCCCCACUCAAAGGUCGGCUGCUCAGUGCUCACGCUGCUACCUACUCCAAGUUGAGCUAAACUGCUGAAGUGUUUAUAGCUUUAGAUGAUCAGUUGUGACUUGUGACAGUUGAGGAGAUGAGCCAAAGAAUAAGAGAUUGCGAUUUGAGAGAGGCUGAAGAGGAAGGAACGGCCGAACGAAGAAGAAGAAAGAACUGUGAAGGAUGAAUUCGACGGAAGCUUUUUCAUUUUUCGUUUUUAGUUUUCCUCAUUUCAUCAGAAUUCUCGAGCCAAAAUUACUUAUUCACCCUUGUUUACUAAUUGGCAGGGAACUGCUUAAGCCCGUAAAUAUUCUAGCUAACAAACCUAAAAGAGUAAA